rnacentral:sRNA from 1 species
AUAUAAACUAAACAAGAUUUCAAGCGUAUUCAUAUGAAAAAAUAAAAAGAAAGCAAAAAUUAAAAUAUCAUUUAAGUCAAUACUUUUAGAUCUUCUCUCAUUGCAUAUAUCCAUAUAAGAGAAAUAAUCAUGUAUUAAAUUAUUUGGUAGGUCUAAUGUUUCAAAGGUUUAUUAUUUGAAAAAAU